rnacentral:tRNA from 1 species
GCAGCAGUAGCUCAGCCCAGUAGAGCACGAGACUGAAAAUCUCGGUUGUCGUUGGUGCGAAUCCAACCUGUUGCACCA